rnacentral:rRNA from 1 species
UACGUAGGUGGCGAGCGUUGUCCGGAUUUACUGGGUGUAAAGGGCGCGUAGGCGGGUGGAUAAGUCAGAUGUGAAAUACCGGAGCUCAACUCCGGGGCUGCAUUUGAAACUGUCUAUCUUGAGUGCAGGAGAGGUAAGUGGAAUUCCUAGUGUAGCGGUGAAAUGCGUAGAUAUUAGGAGGAACACCAGUGGCGAAGGCGACUUACUGGACUGUAACUGACGCUGAGGCGCGAAAGCGUGGGGAGCAAACAGG